AUUGAACGCUGGCGGCAUGCUUUACACAUGCAAGUCGAACGGCAGCACGGGCUUCGGCCUGGUGGCGAGUGGCGAACGGGUGAGUAAUGCAUCGGAACGUGCCCAUUUGUGGGGGAUAACUACGCGAAAGCGUGGCUAAUACCGCAUACGCCCUGAGGGGGAAAGCGGGGGAUUCUUCGGAACCUCGCGCAAUUGGAGCGGCCGAUGUCAGAUUAGCUAGUUGGUGGGGUAAAAGCUCACCAAGGCGACGAUCUGUAGCUGGUCUGAGAGGACGACCAGCCACACUGGAACUGAGACACGGUCCAGACUCCUACGGGAGGCAGCAGUGGGGAAUUUUGGACAAUGGGCGAAAGCCUGAUCCAGCAAUGCCGCGUGCAGGACGAAGGCCUUCGGGUUGUAAACUGCUUUUGUACGGAACGAAAAAGUCUGCCCUAAUACGGUGGGCUCAUGACGGUACCGUAAGAAUAAGCACCGGCUAACUACGUG
rnacentral:rRNA from 1 species